GUGAAACGCCGGGUGACUCGUCUUUGAAUAGCCUCGGUGAGAGCAUUUUUUGAAUCACAUUCGUGAUUUGCUUGUUGUUUUUGUUGCUGUUGCUCGUGAUGAAGAUGCUGUUGCUGUUCCUGCUGUUGUUGCUGAUGAUUAUAGCCUGCGAUCUAAUUUUAAUUGUCGGCCUGUCCCUGCGAAGAUGAUGCCGCUGAUGGGAAUUCUCGCGCGUUAAUGUUCUUGGCGUUGAAACGUCAAUAUCUGCCGUGUCAAUGGUGCGUCGAGGUCGUCUUGCUAUCGUGACUGGUGAAUAUCUUCGCAAAUUACUUAACGGCGAUUCGGAGAUGGUCGAUAGAUGAGGAGAAAAUCUCGCCAGUGGAACGUUAAAGGGAUUAGAGGCUUACCGCCCGGUGCCUGUCAUCAAGGAACUGUGAUUGGCGAAGGAAUUCCCAUAAUAAUAUGAGCUUCCGUCUCCGUAAUAAGGCAUUUUUGAGCUCCUCGUCUCUUGGUGAUUGGAAAUCCACCGCCAAUAUUUUCAGCUGGUGGAGGUGACGCCGAGGCUUCCGCGACCCUCCUUGGUACACGUGUUUUGUAAACAUAAGUUUUCGUCGAUGAACUCGGUGGAAGAUCCGCAGGAUUAAAAGGAGUUGGAGUCCUUGUUCUGUGAAAAUGACAAACAAAAUAUUAUUUUUCUACUCAAUAAAUCAGAGAGGAGAGGAUGUAAUGGAAAUAUUACUCAAUAUAACGGAAUUAUAAUUGAAGAAAAUCAGAUUUAAAGGAGUUGUUGCGGUUGUUUGAAAGGUGCACAAAUGUCGACAAUUUUCCAAGAAGCUGUUAGGAAAAAUUUUUAACGAUCUAAAGUUUGAAAGAAAAACGUUUGGCACCGAGUACAACAAAAUUUGAUGAGUAUGAUUCGACAUAUUCCUUCAAUAUCAAAGGACGUCUUUUGCAUUUUAACAAAAAAUGGGUCAAACGCAAUUUAGAAAUUAAUUUUCUUAAAAACCGAGAAAUGAAAAAACAUCCCAAUAAUUGAAUUUAGAAUUGGAAUUUAAAAUUGAAAUUUUUUACGAAAUAUUGUUUAAGAAAACUAAAAUAGAGAAAUACUAUCGACAAAAGCACAAAUUACAAAGAAAAAUAAAAAAGAAGAAGUAGAAACGUCACUUAACACAAGAGAAAUAAUUCACUUCGCAGAAAUUACAUAUAUUUUUAAAAUGUCGCUGCUUUCCACAAAAUUUUGAUGCAUUUCAGAAUCAUAAAAGAAGUAACUAUGAUUCAUCGGUGAAUGAAUUUGGCGAUUAUUUCUAAAUUUCGACAGUAAAAUUAUUAAAUAUAUAUCGACAAAUUAUUUUCUUGAUAAAUUCAAAUAAAAUUCAUGAAUAUAAAAAUGUAAAUAAAAAAGUACUUGGGGAAUAAAAUUUUGACGCCUGAAUCGUUUUGUAAGUAUGCACGAGACUCCCGUGUCUAUAAAUAUCAGCCUGUUGAAUACCGCCCGCCAUAGGGAUAUAAUAAACGAAAGAAGCGACAUCUCAAAGGUAUAAUUUCAUUCCGAAAAAAGCUUCCAAUAUCUUAAUAUAUAUAUUGAAGAAAAUUUUCAAUUUCAUUUUUUUGGUAAAUAAAAAUCUGUAACAAAAACAGUAAUUAAAAAUUUGAAAUCAGAAAAUAUUCGUUUCUAAUUUUAUCUUUUCUUUCCUGAAAACAAUUAUGAGAGUAAUUAGAAAAAAAUUAUAAGAAUAAUAAUUAUAAUAUUGAAUAGAAUCUAGAAUAAUAAUUAAUAUAAU